GUCCACAGCCAUGCCACCCUGAAUGUGCCCGAUCUCGUCUGAUCUCGGAAGCUAAGCAGGGUCGGGCCUGGUUAGGACUUGGAUGGGAAAAAAAUGUUUUGCAGUAAAUA
rnacentral:rRNA from 1 species